rnacentral:rRNA from 1 species
UACGGAGGGUGCAAGCGUUGCUCGGAAUUAUUGGGCGUAAAGGGUAGGUAGGUGGUCUCAUUUGUCUGAGGUGAAAGCCUUGGGCUUAACCUAAGAAGUGCCUCAGAAACGGUGAGACUAGAGUCCUAGAGAGGGUCGUGGAAUUCCCGGUGUAGCGGUGAAAUGCGUAGAGAUCGGGAGGAACACCAGAGGCGAAAGCGGCGACCUGGAUAGGAACUGACACUAAACUACGAAAGCGUGGGGAGCAAACAGG